UGGGGAAUUUUGGACAAUGGGCGCAAGCCUGAUCCAGCAAUGCCGCGUGCAGGAUGAAGGCCUUCGGGUUGUAAACUGCUUUUGUACGGAACGAAAAGGCUCUGGUUAAUACCUGGGGCUCAUGACGGUACCGUAAGAAUAAGCACCGGCUAACUACGUGCCAGCAGCCGCGGUAAUACGUAGGGUGCAAGCGUUAAUCGGAAUUACUGGGCGUAAAGCGUGCGCAGGCGGUUAUGUAAGACAGAUGUGAAAUCCCCGGGCUCAACCUGGGACCUGCAUUUGUGACUGCAUAGCUAGAGUACGGCAGAGGGGGAUGGAAUCCCGCGUGUAGCAGUGAAAUGCGUAGAUAUGCGGAGGAACACCGAUAGCGAAGGCAAUCCCCUGGACCUGUACUGACGCUCAUGCACGAAAGCGUGGGGAGCAAACA
rnacentral:rRNA from 1 species